rnacentral:misc_RNA from 1 species
CAUAUAUUUGGUGAAGCGAGAAGAACAACACCUUCAAUCCUUUAUAUACCUCACUUUAAUCUUUGGUGGGAAAAUGCACAUGAACAGCUCAGGGCUGUUCUACUGACACUAUUAGAAGAACUGCCAUCUGACUUGCCCAUUCUGUUGCUUGGAACUACCACAGAACUACCCACUGAUACACAGCCAUUUCCAGUGUUUGCUCAACGUUCCAUCUAUCAAGUGGGCAUACCGUCAACUGGAGAAAGAUCUUUGUUUUUUGACCGUUUAAUUGAAGCUGCUUUAUCAGUCUUGUUGGAGGGUGUAACGAAGAAAUCCCAAGAAUCAGUAUCCCUUCCUGAUCUUCCCAAGG